GAGCACGUAGGUGGGUUUGUAAGUCAGAUGUGAAAGCCUUCUGUUCAAAGGAAGAACGGCAUCUGAAACUGCAGAUCUUGAGUGUAGGAGGAGAGAGUGGAACUUCUGGUGGAGCGGUGAAAUGCGUAGAUAUCAGAAGGAACGUCGGCGGCGAAAGCGACUCUCUGGCCUAUUACUGACACUGAGUGUGCGAAAGUUGGGGGAGCAAACGGGAUUAGAUACCCCGGUAGUCCUAACUGUAAACGAUGGGCACUAAGUAGAGGGGUUUU
rnacentral:rRNA from 1 species